rnacentral:rRNA from 1 species
GAUGAACGCUGGCGGCGUGCCUAAUACAUGCAAGUCGAGCGAACAGACGAGGAGCUUGCUCCUCUGACGUUAGCAGCGGACGGGUGAGUAACACGUGGAUAACCUACCUAUAAGACUGGGAUAACUUCGGAAACCGGAGCUAAUACCGGAUAAUAUAUUGAACCGCAUGGUUCAAUAGUGAAAGACGGUUUUGCUGUCACUUAUAGAUGGAUCCGCGCCGCAUUAGCUAGUUGGUAAGGUAACGGCUUACCAAGGCGACGAUGCGUAGCCGACCUGAGAGGGUGAUCGGCCACACUGGAACUGAGACACGGUCCAGACUCCUACGGGAGGCAGCAGUAGGGAAUCUUCCGCAAUGGGCGAAAGCCUGACGGAGCAACGCCGCGUGAGUGAUGAAGGUCUUCGGAUCGUAAAACUCUGUUAUUAGGGAAGAACAAAUGUGUAAGUAACUAUGCACGUCUUGACGGUACCUAAUCAGAAAGCCACGGCUAACUACGUG